rnacentral:rRNA from 1 species
UACAGAGGUCUCGAGCGUUAGGCGGAAUCACUGGGCUUAAAGCGUGUGUAGGUGGAUGCCUAAGUACCUUGUGAAAUCCCACGGCUUAACCGUGGAACUGCUUGGUAUACUGGGUGUCUUGAGUCACUCAGGGGCGAGCGGAACAAAUGGUGGAGCGGUGAAAUGCGUAGAUAUCAUUUGGAACGCCAAUGGUGAAAACAGCUCGCUGGGGGUGCACUGACACUGAGACACGAAAGCCAGGGGAGCAAACGGG